GCCUAGCCCUGAUAGAAGCGGCAUCCUUUUAUGUAACGCAGUGGAAUAAAAGAUAGAGCGGAUAGCAGGAAACAGC
rnacentral:sRNA from 1 species